AGUAGUUAAACUCUACUAUNAAGGG
rnacentral:tRNA from 1 species